rnacentral:tRNA from 1 species
UUGUGGUGUGGGAAAGUUCAUCCUGCUCAAACCAGGAAAAGUUUGUUAAGGGAGAAACUAUCAAUUGUGCGAUUCGCAUGCCACGUUC